ACAUGUCAGAAACAGGUUUGUUAGACAGAGGAGCACCCAAGCCUGUGAGCACAUUCCCAAAGAGAAAUGGUAAUGCCCACUGAACAAGAACAGAAGAGAAAAAGACCAAGGCUUGGUGUGAAAAAAAAGACUGUUAUAAAUACGGCACGGGUGUUGGCUAGAGAACACGGGAGCACGGGAGGGUUCUUGUCGUCAUUCGACAUUGAGGCAGCUAUCUUUGCUCUGGGGGAGAGGGUUAAAUAUAAAACACAAAGACAUGUCCUUGAACUCACUCGAUUAGACACUUCAAAUCCAGCACACAGAGCUUCCUACAGCUACUAAAUUUAUACGGUUACCAAGCUCGAGGGUUGAGUAUUGUUUUGCUGCAGGCAGCACAACUGGCUGUGUGGCUGUUGUUUGUGGAAAUGCCUCAUUAUGCACGGAAGUGGCGGGGACUCCCGGCAUUUACCCCACAUUUCUGUGAGGGGCUCGUUAUCAAGAGUGUCUACUUCAGUGCUCCCCGUCCUCUGGUAUGGAAAUCACAUUGAUUUUGUCAGUGUUUACAAGGGGAUCAUACAAUCCAGAAACUAUUGAUUUCAGCAGCUCGGAUUCGUCACCAUCACCGCUUAUUUCCAGAACAUCAGCUACCGUGUGAUGAGGAGCCUGGACCUGGGUCCAAAGGCAGUGGUGAGAUGAGAAAGAUACAGUCACGACAGACAAGAUGCGGAGCGACGUGGGCGCUGUGACGGCGAAAGACUUACGGGGAGAAGCUGCAACCCCAGAGGCCAUGUGCACCCUCAAAGCCAUGCAGCCUUCAGUAAGAUGCUGGGGUUGCCACAGUCCAUCAGGACAAGCAAUUCCUGGCAACACUGCUCUGGCCUGUGGUUAAAUACUUCAGCCCUCUGACGUGAACCGGGGAGUCUAAGGAAGAAGCUAAACCUACCGUGAGGGUGGGAAGAGUGGACACGAAAGCUUGUCCGUGCUGGCUUAUUUGCAUAACAGGGAUUAUUAGCAUCAACAAAAGACAUUCGAGAUCAUAGUUCUGCUGUGGGCAUAUAGUAAACAUAAUACUUCCUGAAUUUAUUUUGCAUCGAAUCACCUUACGAAAUACAUUCAUUCUAAUGGAUUAUACACAAUACCCUCGGAGGGACCAUAUAAAACCAUAUGUCUAUCGUUUUUCCUCACAACCCUCUGAGGCAGGCGGUGCAGAGACCUAACAUUUACCAAAUCCUCGGCCAUGUGUAAAUCAGCACUCAUCACAAUGCACGCUUAAUUCCAGCCAGAAGACACGUGUACCAAAUGGCUUCCUGAGAGUUCUCUGAGGAUUUGAAAACGUCUUUAAUUCCUCCAACAACCUGCUGUCUAAAUGAAGGAGACUGAGGCACAGAGUAGUUGUGUGACUGUCCAUUCUUUUCUUUUGCAGUUGAUAAGCAGGUUUAAAACACACAGACUCUUUGAAUGCCAGAGCCUCCACCCCUCAGAACUGCAUGCGGGUACCACCCACGGUGUCCUGUAUCUUGUUUCUCCACAUCUUAUUUGAUCUGCCCAGAGGAGGUGAACUCUCCUUACUGGUCCGCCUCGUUUAGGCAGUGAGCUGCUUGGGCCUCUUGCCCAGCUGGUUUGGGAAGAGGCUCCUGCAGGCAAUGCAGUCCUCCAUUCCAAUGGGGGUCCUUGGCAGGCUGGGGCAGCAGUGCCCUGGACAUCCCCCAGGGAAGCUUGUUGUCCUCACCAUUCAGACUGCAGCAUCUCAGGAGAAUGAAGAAACCAACAGACCUCCAUUCUCUCUGCUCAAAAUGAAGUCCCUUGUCUGACCAAACAAAAUGUCCCCCUGGGAAAGUUACAGGGUGCUGUCACUGAAAAGAAUUCUUACUAAAGAAGCCAUUUUCAGUAGUUAGGUCACUGUGGCAGACAGGAACACAUCAACCCUCAGUUUGCUUGUCAAAGAUGAGAUUUUGCUGGGGGUGGUGGGCAGGCUUGCAACCCUAACCCUCAGAAGCCACACUGGACUACAGGCGAUCACCUGUCUCAGAACAAAAGAAAAGCAGAUGGAAUUUGAUCUCCACAUACCAUAGGGUGGAGGUAUUCAGUCUGCAGUGGAUAGUCCUUCCAGCCAUAAGCUGUCAGUUGGCCAUACCUGAUGGGUCAUAGAAUGCAAACGUUUUGCCUCUAUGAAACUAACAGUUCAGAACACUACUGAGACACUCAAGACCAACGGGCCUCAUACGUAUCUUCCAGGGUUUUGUUGUUGUUGUUGUUGUUUAUUUGUUUUGUUUUCCGACCCUAGGAGUCUCUUUAGACCAAUGUUUUAAUCUAUGUGGGGUAAGUACUUAGAGAGACUAGAUACAUAUGUGAUAAUCCCAAUCUAACAUUCAGAAAUGGUGGGAGGCGGCAGUUCUAAUAACUUCCCAUAUGAACUCAGAACAAUUCAAUGCUUGCAUUGAAUUUAAUAAACAUAGAGACUUCCACAGAACUUUGAAGCAAAUUACCAAAAUGUAAACUAUAGACUAAAAAAUGGACCAACAUUCCACAGGGAAUAAACCUUAAUUCCAAACUAAACUCAAAUUUCCUACAGAGAAAUAAUAAUACAAGAAAAAUUACGCUUCUUGGUUUUGGGUAAAAAACUAGUAUCCAAAAGUUCAGCAUUUUAAAGGACCACAGAAUAGCCAUACACAACUCACAGAAGUAUCUAGAAGGCUUGGGAUCAGGUGGCGUGAGAAUACUCAGGCUCUCAUGAUAAGUUGUUUCUUGUUUCAAUUUUUUUUCAGAAGCCACUUAAAUUUCAAGGCCAAAGACUUAGUACAAACAUUUUAAAAUUUUACAAAUAUAAUAUAUUCUUAUUACUUAUAUAGAUUGACGUGUUUAAUUUGAAUUACCAAAAUUUAAAAAGAUAUUAUGCAUAUUUAUUGUCACUGGGGAAUGGGGCAUACACCGCAAUGGAGAUCAAAGGAGAAUUUCAAGAGUCUGUUCUCUCUUUUUGCCAUAUGGAUCCCUGGGAUCGAACUCUGGUCCUCAGGCGAAGCAGUGGGUGGCUGUAUCUGCUGAGCCACCCUGUGGGCCCUUGAAUAACAAGCUUUGUCUCUUUUAAUGGACUUUUAUCAGCCUGACUGGGGCAUGCUCAAGAUUUGUCCUAAAUAUUUUAGCAUCUGAUUUCCACAAACAUGGGUCAGGAUGUUUGGUUAUUAUAUCUAUUGCAUGGCACGUGGUACCAUCAGGGUCAAGUUCAUCCAGGACUUUUGUUGCCCUUGGGAACCGAGGAUGCAACACAUGGAGACAGUCUCUCGGAGGCCCUGGUCUGCUGUCAGAGCUGACAGUUUACAGUUCAGCUAUGAAUGAGUUCAUGCCAUUAAUGACUCAUGCUCUUCUACAUCACAUCAUUCAUUUUGUGGCUUCAUCGGGUAAAGCUAUAAACUGAACAUUCUUACUGUCUUAAUUUUCUGUAACCUUUAAUAGUAUUUAUAAAAGAUCGUAGGAGAGAUGAAACUGCUUUUGGCUAUAUGACAAAUGCACUUUAUGAAUAGUUUAUAGAAAUUGUUAUUUCUCUCA